rnacentral:rRNA from 1 species
AGAGUUUGAUCAUGGCUCAGGAUGAACGCUAGCGGCAGGCUUAACACAUGCAAGUCGAGGGGUAUAGUUCUUCGGAACUAGAGACCGGCGCACGGGUGCGUAACGCGUAUGCAAUCUACCUUUUACAGAGGGAUAGCCCAGAGAAAUUUGGAUUAAUACCUCAUAGCAUAGCAACUUCGCAUGAAGUCACUAUUAAAGUCACAACGGUAAAAGAUGAGCAUGCGUCCCAUUAGCUUGUUGGUAAGGUAACGGCUUACCAAGGCAACGAUGGGUAGGGGUCCUGAGAGGGAGAUCCCCCACACUGGUACUGAGACACGGACCAGACUCCUACGGGAGGCAGCAGUGAGGAAUAUUGGUCAAUGGGCGCAAGCCUGAACCAGCCAUGCCGCGUGCAGGAUGAAGCAUCUAUGGUGUGUAAACUGCUUUUGUACGAGAAGAAACACUCCUACGUGUAGGAGCUUGACGGUAUCGUAAGAAUAAGGACCGGCUAACUCCGUGCCAGCAGCCGCGGUAAUACGGAGGGUCCAAGCGUUAUCCGGAAUCAUUGGGUUUAAAGGGUCCGUAGGCGGUCUUGUAAGUCAGUGGUGAAAGCCCAUCGCUCAACGGUGGAACGGCCAUUGAUACUGCAAGACUUGAAUUAUUGGGAAGCAACUAGAAUAUGUAGUGUAGCGGUGAAAUGCUUAGAUAUUACAUGGAAUACCAAUUGCGAAGGCAGGUUGCUACCAAUACAUUGACGCUGAUGGACGAAAGCGUGGGGAGCGAACAGGAUUAGAUACCCUAGUAGUCC